rnacentral:rRNA from 1 species
GAUGAACGCUGGCGGCGUGCCUAAUACAUGCAAGUCGAGCGAACAGACGAGGAGCUUGCUCCUCUGACGUAAGCGGCGGACGGGUGAGUAACACGUGGAUAACCUACCUAUAAGACUGGGAUCACUUCGGGAAACCGGAGCUACUACCGGCUAAUAUAUUUAACCGCAUGGUUCAAUAGUGAACGACGGUUUUGCUGUCACUUAUCGAUGGAUCCGCGCCGCAUUAGCUAGUUGGGAAGGUAACGGCUUACCAAGGCAACGAUGCGUAGCCGACCUGAGCGGGUGAAUGGCCACACUGGAACUGAGAGACGGUCCAGACUCCGACGGGAGGCAGCAGUAGGGAAUCUUCCGCAAUGGGCGAAAGCCUGACGGAGCAAAGCCGCGUGAGUGAUGAAGGUCUUCGGAUCGUAAAACUCUGUUAUUAGGGAAGAACAAAUGUGUAAGUAACUAUGCACGUCUUGACGGUACCUAAUCAGAAAGCCACGGCUAACUACGUG